rnacentral:rRNA from 1 species
GGGGAAUUUUGCGCAAUGGGGGAAACCCUGACGCAGCAACGCCGCGUGAGUGAUGAAGGCCUUCGGGUCGUAAAGCUCUGUCAGAGGGAAAGAAAUGUGGGCAGUUAAUACCUGUUCCACUUGACGGUACCCUCAGAGGAAGCACCGGCUAACUCCGUGCCAGCAGCCGCGGUAAUACGGAGGGUGCGAGCGUUGUUCGGAAUUAUUGGGCGUAAAGCGCGUGUAGGCGGUUUGCUCAGUCUGAUGUGAAAGCCCUGGGCUCAACCUGGGAAGUGCAUUGGAUACUGGCAGACUUGAGUACGGGAGAGGGUAGUGGAAUUCCCAGUGUAGGAGUGAAAUCCGUAGAUAUUGGGAGGAACACCGGUGGCGAAGGCGGCUGCCUGGACCGAUACUGACGCUGAGACGCGAAAGCGUGGGGAGCAAAC